rnacentral:rRNA from 1 species
UACGUAGGGGGCAAGCGUUGUCCGGAUUUAUUGGGCGUAAAGAGCGUGUAGGCGGCCUUACAGGUCAGCUGUGAAAACUCGAGGCUCAACCUCGAGACGUCGGUUGAAACCGUAUGGCUAGAGUCCGGAAGAGGAGAGUGGAAUUCCUGGUGUAGCGGUGAAAUGCGCAGAUAUCAGGAAGAACACCCGUGGCGAAGGCGGCUCUCUGGGACGUGACUGACGCUGAGACGCGAAAGCGUGGGGAGCAAACAGG